UCUCCUCUUUCUUAAUCUAUAAUAAUAAUGUUUAACCUAGCUGUCACAAGAAAUGUUCAAAUGAAUCUUGGAAAUACCCUGCAUGAUAACCUGCCUGAAGAUCAACAAAUUUCGACAUUAGUUUCUCUUACAUGUGCCUUAAAAAUAUAACUGUGUAGGCGAUUUUAAAUAAUUGGUAAGGAGUGAUGAUGAUUCAAAAACCACAAACUAGGCAGAAAAUCUGGUGCAUUUAUUGAAAACAAAGUAGAGAAGUUUCAGUUUGUCACUCUUAUGGACGCGCUCGGAUGGUUCGUAAUUGGCUCAGAAGGAUAUGCAGUAAGAGCCGAGUCGGACGACGAGAAUUUUGUCAUUUACCUCACUGAUAUGACUUCAAUUUGGUGUGAACGACAAACAGCUACUGAGAUUAUGAAACGGUGUCAGGAAUUAAACCCUUUAAUCGAGUCGACAGUAAAACAUCUGAUCCAACAACUUCGCACAUUGCUAAAUAGCUAUUCGCAGAGUAAUAGUCUAACGAUAGUUUCAGUUGAUCAAAACAUCACGUUGAAACUAGAAUCUCACUUGGACGGUAAUCUACCCUUUUCUUGGGAAUUUCAUUUGACUUUGGAAACCGCUGAUCAGUUUCAAUCUUUUAUAAUUCGUCCAUUGUUGGCAAUGCUUAAAGAAGCAGCUUGCGUUGAAGAAGAGCUUUGCAACAUCAUCCGAAGCAAAGAUAAGCAAAUUGACGACUACAAAGCUUCAGGUGCAACCGUAUCCCGCCGUCACUUGGAAACCAAAGAAUUCAAUGCGGAAACAUUCUUCGCUUCACGUAUAACGCGCACUAUUGAAGAGAGCGCCAAAGAAAAAAUUACAUCUCUGUUCUGUAGAGUUGUUGAUAGAUUAAAACAGUUGUAUUCGGUUGCUGUCGAAAGGAUUUAUUUCCAAAGUUCAAUAGCACGUCGCUCAGCUUUAACUGUUUCAGACGUAUCUGCCGAAUUGACAGAAGAGAUUCCGAACAGAGGACAAACUUCAACACAAUCACCAGCCAAAGUUAAAAGCCAAAUUAAAACCAUUAAAAUCAUCAUGAUUCCAACACAUUAUUUUUGUUCCAGGAGAGUGAAGAGAGUCGAUCAGAAGCCAUUAAAAAGCGAUUACGUGAAGAAGAACAGAAAGAGAUGGCCAAAAGAGCUAAAAAGGCGUGUUCAGCAAAAAUAUUGUAAAAUUCCUGCAUCUUACUCUUUGACACAGGUUUGUAAUUUUUUUAAGAAACUUGAUAAACUCAAACAAGGUGAUUAAUUUAAGUUGAAGUCGUUAAAGUCAAAAGAUUAGCCUUCAUGCUAUAAGAUUGAAGAAGAUGAGGUCCGUAGAGUAGCGAGUGCACAUCUCGAGUUGAAUUUAAUCGAGUCCUAAUGUUUCCAUUACAUUAUUUUACUGAUUUUGUUCCAAAAUGGACAUGCAUAUACGUGUCUUAAUAUCUUUGCUUGUACGUUUUGGAUGUAACUUCAAUUUACAACAUUAAAUAAUAAGCACACGAUGUCAGAAAGAAAUAGCAGAUCUAAUCUAGCAAUUCACAUCUAACAAGAGAUGUACGCUCAAGAUUUUCUGGGAGUGGAGUACUAAAGCGUAGUAGGGCGAUUUGUAAUCAUUGUAGUAAUUGAUUUCUCCUUCGUAUGUGACUUCGGCGACAUAACCAGAGUGACCAUCGACGUAGUAAUUCACGUGCUGUCGACGACCGUCAGGUAAGUCAACAUAGUAACUUCCUUUGGUGAAAUCUCCUUUGCGGCUUUCCUCAUGUCCAAAGUUUGCGUAAUGGUCCACGGCGUCAUAUUUGAAGUUGUAGUUCGCAAGAGCCUGGGGAUCCGUAAUAAAACAAUUUUAUUAAUUCCAUUCAAUUC